GACGAACGCUGGCGGCGUGCCUAAUACAUGCGAGUAGAACGCUGAAGGAGGAGCUUGCUCUUCUGGAUGAGUUGCGAACGGGUGAGUAACGCGUAGGUAACCUGCCUGUUAGCGGGGGAUAACUAUUGGAAACGAUAGCUAAUACCGCAUAAGAGUAGAUGUUGCAUGACAUUUGCUUAAAAGGUGCAAUUGCAUCACUACCAGAUGGACCUGCGUUGUAUUAGCUAGUUGGUGGGGUAACGGCUCACCAAGGCGACGAUACAUAGCCGACCUGAGAGGGGGAUCGGCCACACUGGGACUGAGACACGGCCCACACUCCUCCGGGAGAGAGCAGUAGGGAAUCUUCGGCAAUGGACGGAAGUCUGACCGAGCACCGCCGCGUGAGUGAAGAAGGUUUUCGGAUCGUAAAGCUCUGUUGUAAGAGAAGAACGAGUGUGAGAGUGGAAAGUUCACCCUGUGACGGUAACUUACCAGAAAGGGACCGCUAACUAAGUG
rnacentral:rRNA from 1 species